UUUGACAUGCAGGUGAUCGCCGUUGAAAGACGGUUUCCUCUUCGGAGGCACCUGCACAGGUGCUGCAUGGCUGUCGUCAGCUCGUGUCGUGAGAUGUUGGGUUAAGUCCCGCAACGAGCGCAACCCUUAUCCCUAGUUGCCAUCAGGUAAAGCUGGGAACUCUGGGGAGACUGCCGGUGAUAAACCGGAGGAAGGCGGGGAUGACGUCAAGUCCUCAUGGCCCUUACAUCCCGGGCUACACACGUGCUACAAUGGCAGGUACAGAGGGCUGCGAAGCCGCGAGGUGGAGCGAAUCCCAGAAAACCUGUCUCAGUCCGGAUUGAAGUCUGCAACUCGACUUCAUGAAGGCGGAAUCGCUAGUAACCGCGAAUCAGCAGGUCGCGGUGAAUACGUUCCCGGGCCUU
rnacentral:rRNA from 1 species